GAUGAACGCUGGCGGCGUGCCUAAUACAUGCAAGUCGAGCGAACAGACGAGGAGCUUGCUCCUCUGACGUUAGCGGCGGACGGGUGAGUAACACGUGGAUAACCUACCUAUAAGACUGGGAUAACUUCGGGAAACCGGAGCUAAUACCGGAUAAUAUAUUGAACCGCAUGGUUCAAUAGUGAAAGACGGUUUUGCUGUCACUUAUAGAUGGAUCCGCGCCGCAUUAGCUAGUUGGUAAGGUAACGGCUUACCAAGGCAACGAUGCGUAGCCGACCUGAGAGGGUGAUCGCCCACACGGGAACUGGGACACGGUCCAGACUCCUACGGGAGGCAGCAGUAGGGAAUCUUCCGCAAUGGGCGAAAGCCUGCCGGAGCAACGCCGCGUGAGUGAUGAAGGUCUUCGGAUCGUAAACCUCUGUUAUUAGGGAAGAACAAAUGUGUAAGUAACUAUGCACGUCUUGACGGUACCUAAUCAGAAAGCCACGGCUAACUACGUG
rnacentral:rRNA from 1 species